GAUGAACGCCGGCGGCGUGCCUAAUACAUGCAAGUCGAGCGAACGGACGAGAAGCUUGCUUCUCUGAUGUUAGCGGCGGACGGGUGAGUAACACGUGGAUAACCUACCUAUAAGACUGGGAUAACUUCGGGAAACCGGAGCUAAUACCGGAUAAUAUUUUGAACCGCAUGGUUCAAAAGUGAAAGACGGUCUUGCUGUCACUUAUAGAUGGAUCCGCGCUGCAUUAGCUAGUUGGUAAGGUAAAGGCUUACCAAGGCAACGAUGCAUAGCCGAGCUGAGAGGGUGAUCGGCCACACAGUAACUGAGACACGGUCCAGACUCCUACGGGAGGCAGCAGUAGGGAAUCUUCCGCAAUGGGCGAAAGCCUGACGGAGCAACGCCGAGUGAGUGAUGAAGGUCUUCGGAUCGUAAAACUCUGUUAUUAGGGAAGAACAUAUGUGUAAGUAACUGUGCACAUCUUGACGGUGCCUAAUCAGAAAGCCACGGCUAACUACGUG
rnacentral:rRNA from 1 species